UUUAGAAACUUUUUUUGCAGCUUCUUCUAGUGAAAUCAGAGAAGCUCUAAAGGAUGAAGCCCUUCAGAAACUCAUCUCCAGUAUCGAUAGUUCUUCCAACCCUCUCUGCAGGAACUCGAUGAAGCCAUGGGAGUAGAAGCUUUCCGGGUACUCACAGAAAAGAUUCUAGCCAACAUUUCCAAGAGUAAUGACAAGCAACGAUCGUAGUUGGUUGGUUGGGGCAUGCAAACACAAGUUCUAGUAGUACUCACUUUAUUAUUGUUUUCUUUACAGGAGAGAUAUUUAUUGGCCUAAUAUAUACAUAAAAAA